CCUACGGGAGGCAGCAGUGGGGAAUAUUGUACAAUGGGCGCAAGCCUGAUACAGCAAUGCCGCGUGAGUGAAGAAGGCCUUAGGGUUGUAAAACUCUUUCGCCGGGGAUGAUAAUGACAGUACCUGGUAAAGAAACCCCGGCUAACUCCGUGCCAGCAGCCGCGGUAA
rnacentral:rRNA from 1 species